AAGAGAGUAGCUAAAAAAGCGAUAUAAUGUAAAUAUAUAGAUGAGUUUCUCCCUCUUCUUUG
rnacentral:tRNA from 1 species